CCGCCUCCCCCUCGGCUCGAGUUGUCUGCUCGGGCAAGCCAGGUCUAGAACAAACACCAGGUUUUAAACCUAGAAUAACUCGGUCACAUACCAGAUCCCUAGUAGGAAUGCUUAUCUGCAUCAUGUGCAUAUUGACUUAGGGGACUCAACACAGGGGUUAGGUCCGUCAAGGGCUAGCAACCUGAAAUGAAAAGACCAUCCUGAUGCAUCCUACUUGUUUUCUGUCCAUUUAUUUGUUCGGGCUUGCAUGUUGACCGGCUUUUGAAUCUCAAGAAUGUUAGAAAAUUUAAAAAAAAGGGAGAAAAAGAGAAAAAAAAUGGGAGUUGGAGUCUUGCAUGUUGACCGGCUUUUGAAUCUCGGGAAUGUUAGAAAAUUUAAAAAGAAAAAGAAAAAAAAGAGAAAAAGAUAAAAAUAGUAGUUUGGAAGUUAAUUGAUUGUUUUGGAAAACCCAAUGCCCAAGUACUGUCGAAACUCUGCCGAAAUUUUGAAAAAAUGAAAAAAAAAAGUUUUUCAGUUUGUUUUACUAAAAAGUAAAGGAAAAAAAAAGAAGAAGUAUUUCAUUUUUGGAAAUUGUUUGUUAAAAAGAAAAGAAAAGAGUCUUUACUUUAGGAAAAUAGGUCGUUUGGUUGUUGAAAAUGAAAAGAAAAAAAGAGGUCGUUAUUUUUUUCUUGCAUUUAAAAAUUAAAAAAGGAAAAAUAGUUUGUUUUGCCAUAAAAAAUGAAAAGAAAAAAGUCUUGAUUUUUAUUUUUCUUGUUUCAAAAUAGUUUAUUUGCCAAUGGAAAAAUAGGUUAUUGUAUUAUUUGAUGAAAAAGAAGAAAAAGAGUCUUUUAUUUUUUGUUCGGAAAAAUAGGUUGUUUUAUUGGAAUGGAAAAGAGAAAUAGUCUUUUAUUUUUUCGAAAAUAGGUUGUUUGAUAAAAAAAACGAAAAAAAAUAGUCUUUUAUUUUUAAUUAGGAAAAAUAGCUUGUUUGUUGAAAAAAAAAGUCGUUAUUUAGCCUUAUUUUUAAAAAUAGAGAAGGAAAAAUAGUUUGAUUUUCCAUAGCAAAUGAAAAAAAAUCUUUUAGUUUCAGGCUAUUUUAUUGUUUGAAAAAGUAAAAAAUCAGUAUUGCUUUUAAAAGUAGUUUUUUGUUAUAAAAUGCCAAAAAUGAAAAAAAAUGAUGUCUUGUUUUAAAAUAGCUCGGUAAAUCUGCCCGAACUACGCAUGGUUUGAUUCUCACAGGGCGUGGGAUACGUAGGCAACCCUCAUCGGGUCCAACCUCCCCUUUAUAAAAAUAGCCAAAAAA
rnacentral:lncRNA from 1 species